rnacentral:lncRNA from 1 species
GAGAAAUAUGCAAGAACAGCUACGGAUUCCUGCAGUUUAGGACACAAGCAGAUCAAUUUCAAGGAUAAAUAUUGAGUCAAUUCUAAACAUGUAUCUUGAGAAUUGAGAGGGACUCAAAAGACUAAGAUGAAGAAAUUAUAUUUCUAUGAUAAAUUUGUUACAUUGCCAGGAAAGAAAGUGGCAAAAAUCCAUUCAAAGAAUGUAAAAUGGAAAGAAACAAGCCUCCACUCUAGGGUUCUUUUUGAAAAGCCAAAGGGAAGGGAAAACAAAGGAGGAAUCAUAAAAUUUAGCUAGGAAAUAUGAGUAAAUGGAGAGAAUACUCUUCAGGUCUUUACAGUUUGUCUCAUUUCAUAUCAAAAUCUGAUGGAGAGAUGAUUAGAACUAGUGGGGCCUGGAAGAAUAAGGGCAACCUACAGUUGCCAAUUUCUCUCCUCCAUAUGUAGCAGGCCCCACAACGUGUGAGGCAUCCAUAUGUGUCAUUCAGAAGAGCAACAUUGCAUUUUUGAAGAAUUAAUUGUUUUAAAGAAAGCUAAUAUUUUCAUUCAUACUAUUCUAAUCAUUAAUAUAUUUUGUUUAAGCCAUUAUUUUAUUGGUGUUUUGUUGGGAAACCAUGUUGCUUACAUGCCAGGAAUCCACAGUACUGUUGAGAUACCUUCUGAACUCUAGAGGACAAAUGUUGUUCUGAACUGGGACUUUUUUGAAAAUACUUUAAAAGCCUUGUAGAUAUGCCACAUCAGACUCAAACUGGAACCAGAAAUCUUUAUGCAGUUUACUCCUCAAAAACCAACACCAUUACUCUUAU